GGGAGUGUAGCUCAGUUGUAGAGUGUUUGCCUAUCAUGCAAAUGGCAUGGUUCAAUCCCC
rfam:Fukomys damarensis contig125278, whole genome shotgun sequence.